rnacentral:rRNA from 1 species
GACGAACGCUGGCGGCGUGCUUAACACAUGCAAGUCGAGCGGUAAGGCCCUUUCGGGGGUACACGAGCGGCGAACGGGUGAGUAACACGUGGGUGACCUGCCCUCAGCUCUGGGAUAAGCCUGGGAAACCGGGUCUAAUACCGGAUAUGACUCCAUGACGCAUGUUGUGGGGUGGAAAGCCUUGUGCGGCUGAGGGUGGGCCCGCGGCCUAUCAGCUUGUUGGUGGGGUGANGGCCUACCAAGGCGACGACGGGUAGCCGGCCUGAGAGGGCGACCGGCCACACUGGGACUGAGACACGGCCCAGACUCCUACGGGAGGCAGCAGUGGGGAAUCUUGCGCAAUGGGCGAAAGCCUGACGCAGCGACGCCGCGUGAGGGAUGACGGCCU